rfam:Triticum aestivum genome assembly, contig: Triticum_aestivum_CS42_TGACv1_scaffold_592512_7BS
CGACUACUCCCUCUGUCCCAAAUUUCUUGUCUUAGAUUUGUCUAGAUACGGAUGUGAUUUGUCUAGAUACGGAUGUGAUUUGUCUAGAUACGGAUGUGAUUUGUCUAGAUACGGAUGUGACUUGAUACAUUCGUAUCUAGACAAAUCUAAGACAAGAAUUUUGGGACGGAGGGAGUACUUU